rnacentral:lncRNA from 1 species
UAGCCUUAUCUUUUUGCAGCAAAAACUGAAGAACGAAGAACUUGCUCGUCUUGUGGAAGAGAGACGGAGGGAUGCAGAGAAAAAGAAAAAAGAAGAAGAAGAGAAAGAGAGAGCAGCUGUAAGAAAACAGGAAGAGCAAGAGAGACAAAUACGACUGCAACAGGUUCAGCGUGCACCAUCCCCUCCUAUCCCUACCCUACAGAAUAAACACCGCAACCCUUCAAAUGCUACGGAUUUCUCUGCGCUUCGGGCUCCUCCGUCUCCAGAAAGCAGAAACAACCAGAGAACAGAGAAGGACAGAAGUGAGGUUGUUAACAAGCUGUGUGUGUUAAGAAGACGUCUGCGCAGUGAACAGCGGCGUCUGGAGGAGCAGCUCUUGCAGACGGAGUGGGAGCAUUUUCCCUCCCCUUUCACAGACAGGCACAGGACGGAUGUGUUUGACAUGGCUCGUUUGCGUAUGCCUGUGCGAGGCCCCUCCGCCCGUGGCACUGAGCCAAUCAGCUCAAAGGGAGCCGAUGACAUCAUGUACAGGGGUAAGAACUGACUAGCUAAUACCAAUAUUAAUCUGAGCUAUGA